CUCAUCCAGAUCAUCAUGGCCCUGGUGAGUGGCGAAGCUUGAAACAUUUGUAGUUCUGUAUAAUAGUACAUUAGCAUCUAAUUAGCAUUUAAUUUUUUUUGGGGGGGGAUACAAGUCACCUUGUCCAAGAGUGGUUUACACGGUAUUCAAAACGUCAUACCUGGGUAAACAGUGCAUUGGAUAUUGGAAUUAUUUUGUGAGUGGAGGAACAUGCGAGGGUCGACAACAGGAGGAGUGCCUUUUUGAAGUGAUUGUUUGAUAAUCAGAUGAAAACAUCAUGACUGGUAAAUUGUGUUUAUGACACAAUAAAAGGGCCUGUCAUGGGACGAAGACAUUCCACAAGAUUUAUUCACUAGGUGGAGCCAAUGGAUUCUACAUUUUUGGA
rnacentral:lncRNA from 1 species